GAUGAACGCUGGCGGCGUGCCUUAGGCAUGCAAGUCGAACGGUCCCGCAUUGCGGGACAGUGGCGGAAGGGUGAGUAACGCGUGGGAACGUACCCAUUGGUGGAGUACAGCUCGCCGAAAGGCGGGGUAAUGCUCCAUAACCUCGCAAGAGAAAAGGGCUUAACCGCCCGCCGAUGGAGCGGCCUGCGUCCUAUCAGCUUGUUGGUGGGGUAAAAGCCUACCAAGGCAAUGACGGGAGCUGGACUGAGAGGUCGGCCAGCCACAAUGGAACUGAGACACGGUCCAUACAUCUACGGAUGGCAGCAACCGGGAAUCUUGGACAAUGGGGGAAACCCUGAUCCAGCGACGCCGCGUGAGGAUGAA
rnacentral:rRNA from 1 species